rnacentral:rRNA from 1 species
UGGGGAAUCUUGGACAAUGGGCGAAAGCCUGAUCCAGCCAUGCCGCGUGAGUGACGAAGGUCUUCGGAUUGUAAACUCCUGUCGACCGGGACGAAUGCACUCGACCUAAUACGUCGAGUUGUUGACGGUACCGGUGGAGGAAGCCACGGCUAACUCUGUGCCAGCAGCCGCGGUAAUACAGAGGUGGCAAGCGUUGUUCGGAAUUACUGGGCGUAAAGGGCGCGUAGGCGGCCUUGUAAGUCUCGUGUGAAAGCCCUCGGCUUAACUGAGGAUCUGCACGGGAUACUGCGAGGCUAGAGUUCGGGAGAGGAAAGCGGAAUUCCGGGUGUAGCGGUGAAAUGCGUAGAUAUCCGGAGGAACACCAGGGGCGAAGGCGGCUUUCUGGACCGACACUGACGCUGAGGCGCGAAAGCUAGGGGAGCAAACGGGAUUAGAUACCCCCGUAGUCCCUGAGCGGGCUGGCAAGGCGCAU